UGGGGAAUUUUGGACAAUGGGCGAAAGCCUGAUCCAGCAAUGCCGCGUGUGUGAAGAAGGCCUUCGGGUUGUAAAGCACUUUUGUCCGGAAAGAAAUCCUUGGCUCUAAUACAGUCGGGGGAUGACGGUACCGGAAGAAUAAGCACCGGCUAACUACGUGCCAGCAGCCGCGGUAAUACGUAGGGUGCAAGCGUUAAUCGGAAUUACUGGGCGUAAAGCGUGCGCAGGCGGUUUGCUAAGACCGAUGUGAAAUCCCCGGCGUCAACCUGGGAACUGCAUUGGUGACUGGCAGGCUAGAGUAUGGCAGAGGGGGGUGAGAAUUCCACGUGUAGCAGUGAAAUGCGUAGAGAUGUGGAGGAAUACCGAUGGCGAAGGCAGCCCCUGGC
rnacentral:rRNA from 1 species